AGGGGUAUAGCUCAGCGGUAGAGCAUUCGACUGCUGAUCGAGAGGUCCCCGGUUAAAAUCGAGAGGUUCCCGGGUGCCCCCU